GGUGGCUCAGUGGUAGAGUGCUUGCCUUGCAUGCAUGAGGCCCUGGGUUUGAUUCUCUAGCACCA
rnacentral:tRNA from 1 species